rnacentral:lncRNA from 1 species
CAGUUCCAAGUAUCUGGAUGCACUGGAGAGCUCCUCAAAGGGGAUUUCAGGUGGAUCCUCAAUAAAAUCCUCCACGAGACUCCUUUUGUGUAGAAGAAAUAACGCUUUUCAUCCAGAACGAGGGAAUCCUGCAGAUGAACAGUCUACCCCUAGAGGUCACUGCGAUCCAGGGAUUUUAAGGCUGAAAACGCUGACAAAACAGCAUGAUUCAAAAGGACUCCGAGAUCUCAUCUCUGGCAAGCAAAUCACCGGAGAGUCUUCAGCUGAAGACAUCUGUGAUUUCUACCACGAGGUUCGUGACACCCGUGUGUACCCAU